rnacentral:sRNA from 1 species
AGAGAAGAUUUUGAUGUGGAACCAGCUGACUCAGAGGGAAACUGCCUUGACAGUUUAGUUUUUGUUGCAGGAGAUCAGCAAUUUGGUCCUUACUGUGGUCAUGGAUUCCCUGGGCCUCUAAAUAUUGAAACCAAGAGUAAUGCUCUUGAUAUCAUCUUCCAAACUGAUCUAACAGGGCAAAAAAAGGGCUGGAAACUUCGCUAUCAUGGAGAUCGUGAGUAACCUAGAAGUGCCUCUUUGGUUGGUGAUACCAAAGUCCCCAAACAAUGUGGGAACAAAGCAGGUAGAUGAUCCAGGCACACUGGAAGCACCUGUGAUCUCAGCUACUGGGGGAGGAUGAGGCAGGAGGAUCCCUUGAGCCCAGGAAGUAGGAGUUUGAGUCCACUCUGGGCAACAGAGCAAAACCUUUUCUCUAAAACAAAACAAAAACAAAGCAACAAUAAUUUGAAAAGCAGAUAGAUUGUUGUUCUGAUAGAAUCCUGAGAUACUUCACUUCUUCAGGAAAAUCUAAACCAGUCAAUGGUUGCUAGAAAUGCCACAACCUCUAGUAAUCCUUU